rnacentral:rRNA from 1 species
AUUGAACGCUGGCGGCAGGCUUAACACAUGCAAGUCGAGCGGAGAGAGGUAGCUUGCUACAGAUCUUAGCGGCGGACGGGUGAGUAAUGCUUAGGAAUCUGCCUAUUAGUGGGGGACAACAUUUCGAAAGGAAUGCUAAUACCGCAUACGUCCUACGGGAGAAAGCAGGGGAUCUUCGGACCUUGCGCUAAUAGAUGAGCCUAAGUCGGAUUAGCUAGUUGGUGGGGUAAAGGCCUACCAAGGCGACGAUCUGUAGCGGGUCUGAGAGGAUGAUCCGCCACACUGGGACUGAGACACGGCCCAGACUCCUACGGGAGGCAGCAGUGGGGAAUAUUGGACAAUGGGCGGAAGCCUGAUCCAGCCAUGCCGCGUGUGUGAAGAAGGCCUUAUGGUUGUAAAACACUUUAAGCGAGGAGGAGGCUACUUUAGUUAAUACCUAGAGAUAGUGGACGUUACUCGCAGAAUAAGCACCGGCUAACUCUGUGCCAGCAGCCGCGGUAA